GCUAUGGUCCAGGGGUCACAAAGAGCUGGACACAACUGAGCAUCUGAGCACGCACACAGAAAUUUAAGAUUCAUCACAGUAUUAUAUGUUUAAAAAGUGCUACAAUGUGUCUUAAACUAAUGAAUUUUUAUGCAAUUUUUGUACAAUGAUUACAGAAACUUCAAGAGAAAAAAAGGGAAAAGGUAAUUGAUGGCUGAGGGAAAACAGAAGAAAAUAAGGUAGUAAUAAACUUUUAGUUUGAGAUAAAAGUGAAGAAAAGAGUGAAGAGAAUCAGAGUCAUGUUCUCAAAUUGAUGUAAGUUCUCUCUUCUCCUGCCCAGUGUGAAUGUGGGAGUGAGAUAGGAGCUAGCUGAUAAGAGAUUUUAGAGCAGGAAAGCCAAAGAGAGUGAUACUGAUAGGAGUUACUUCACUCUCUGGUCCCCAACCAGGCAGACCUCAAGGUCUGAGUUGCCACAAUCCUGCUUUUUAGCACAGUUUUGUAAACUUAAUGUUUGUGUUUGUUUCCUUACUGAAUCCACACUUAGCUUCCAUGAUCUCUGUCAUCAGGUUCUUUAUCUUGUUGAAAAUACAGUCUCCUGGGAUUGACUGCUACCUCUGUCAAGGGUCUCUGAUACAGCCAGCUUAUCAUUUUGAUCAUUCCUAAUAUGUAUUGAUGGAGUUACCUGUCAUGACAGGACACCCUUAUCUCCAGGACUGCACUGCCCACAGCCAGUUUGACAAGAUUUUUUCCUACCCUGAGGUCACUGAUGCUUCACAGCAAGUGACAUUCAUCUUCUCUGCCUUCUGGACUUUUCCUCCAAGAUAAAGGAGGUACACUGGGACAAUAUCUCAAAGAGCAGACCGUAUCUGUCAGAAAAUCUGUUGAUCCUCACAUCAUUAUUCCUUUCUUUUGUUCCUUUAUACGUGUCUCUUCAAAUAUGAAACUAAAACCAUGUAAAAAGGAUGGAACAUAAACCAUUAAGGCAGGCUAAAACCAUGUGCAUCUAACAAAACUCUUCAGUUCAAUUACUGUACAGCCUAAGGAAGACUAAAAGCACACAGGGCUUAAAACCAACGAGAGAUCCACCCCCCAAAACUACAGCCCCAUAUCUGCAAGCAAAAACAACAAUAAAACCCCAAACAAACAAAUAAACAAAAACAGAACCUGCGGGAAGACACUGGAAGGCGGAAUGCAAUUACCGGAUUUGGAAACUAACCAGGACACCGUGGUUAAAACCCUUUCUGCUACUAAGGUUCCGAGGAAUCUUUAAUGACUACAAAAUGGUUAGGACUUCACGUCCACACCUCAUCUGAAAGAUGAUGACAGCCAGCGGUUAGUCCUCCCUGCCACCACCCAGGGACCAGAGUCAAUUCUGACUCAGAAAAUAAAGGGCCACCUACAGAAAUCACUAGCAACAUUCGCUAUCCUUGGCUGCCUUUGCUAACUGACCUACGUGAAACAAACUAUUUAAGUAUCUCAAAUGUCACUGCCAUAUUCUAAUUAAAAUACACAGUGGUAUCA